UAUGUGGCAUACGGCUCAGUAACACGUAGUCAACAUGCCCAGGGGACGUGGAUAACCUCGGGAAACUGAGGAUAAACCGCGAUAGGUCAUUGCUUCUGGAAUGGGCAAUGACUCAAACCUAUAUGGCCCCUGGAUUGGACUGCGGCCGAUCAGGCUGUUGGUGAGGUAAUGGCCCACCAAACCUGUAACCGGUACGGGCUCUGAGAGGAGGAGCCCGGAGAUGGGCACUGAGACAAGGGCCCAGGCCCUAUGGGGCGCAGCAGGCGCGAAACCUCUGCAAUAGGCGAAAGCUUGACAGGGUUACUCUGAGUGAUUUCCGUUAAGGGGAUCUUUUGGCACCUCUAAAAAUGGUGCAGAAUAAGGGGUGGGCAAGUCUGGUGUCAGCCGCCGCGGUAAUACCAGCACCCCGAGUGGUCGGGACGUUUAUUGGGCCUAAAGCAUCCGUAGCCGGUUCUACAAGUCUUCCGUUAAAUCCACCUGCUCAACAGAUGGGCUGCGGAAGAUACUAUGGAGCUAGGAGGCGGGAGAGGCAAGCGGUACUCGAUGGGUAGGGGUAAAAUCCGUUGAUCCAUUGAAGACCACCAGUGGCGAAGGCGGCUUGCCAGAACGCGCUCGACGGUGAGGGAUGAAAGCUGGGGGGGCAAACCGGAUUAGAUACCCGGGUAGUCCCAGCUGUAAACGAUGCAGACUCGGUGAUGAGUUGGCUUUAUGCUAACUCAGUGCCGCAGGGAAGCCGUUAAGUUUGCCGCCUGGGGAGUACGGUCGCAAGACUGAAACUUAAAGGAAUUGGCGGGGGAGCACCACAAGGGGUGAAGCCUGCGGUUCAAUUGGAUUCAACGCCGGG
rnacentral:rRNA from 1 species